AUACGGAGGAUGCGAGCGUUAUCCGGAUUUAUUGGGUUUAAAGGGAGCGUAGGUGGGAUAUUAAGUCAGCUGUGAAAGUUUGGGGCUCAACCUUAAAAUUGCAGUUGAUACUGGUUUCCUUGAGUACGGUACAGGUGGGCGGAAUUCGUGGUGUAGCGGUGAAAUGCUUAGAUAUCACGAAGAACUCCGAUCGCGAAGGCAGCUAACCGGACCGGAACUGACACGAAUUCUCGAAAGUGCGUGUAUCAAACAGGAUUGGAUACCCUGGUAGUCCGCACAGUAAACGACGAAUACUCGCUAUUUGCGAUCCCCGGGAAGCGGCCAAGCGAAAGCGUUAAGUAAUCCACCUGGGGAUUACGCCGGCAACUCUGAGGGUCAAUGGAAUUAACAGG
rnacentral:rRNA from 1 species